CCCAAGUGCAAUUUUGUACGGUUUAUAUAUACAAAGUUUGACAGUUCGUCUUAUUUAAAAAAAUAUAUAAUAUUUUUAUUGUUAUUAGAUGAUAAAAUAUGAAUAAUAUUUUAUGUGUAACUUUUUUUUAUUUUUUUAUAAAUUUUUUAAAUAAGAUAGAUGGUCAAAUAUUGAACACAUAUACCCACGGCUGUACUUAUU
rnacentral:pre_miRNA from 1 species